rnacentral:rRNA from 1 species
CGCGUCAGAAUGUGAACUGCAGGACACAUGAACACCGACAAGUUGAACGCAUAUUGCACAUCGUACAACAGUACGAUGUACACAUUUUUGAGUGCCUAUAUUUACUCAUUUAACUAUACGGUGUGUGCGAACGCGCGCGCAGCGUAUGCGGAGUGACGUUUUCCCGCCUUCAGUGUGCGAUAAAACGUUCAAGACAGUCAAACACGGGCGCUCACCCGCGCUCGUGGUUGAUGAGUACACCCCACAAGCUCGGAGACGACUUGCGUGUGCAUCAUCAGCACCCCCCUAAUUUGACCAAUCACAACUCACACCACCCAUGUAGGCCUCAAAUAAUGUGUGAC